GGACCACGUUUAGUACUUGCUGGGGAGCUUGAAGAAGUAGGAACAGGUAGUGAUGACUUGGAACCAUGGAGGAACAAAGUAGGAACCACGGGGGUGCAAGUGGGUUACGGAAUUAGACAUCAAAUAUGGCGGCUUGCCAGGCAAAAGGUGGGUCUAAAAUACGCUGCGCAUAAGUACCGUGCGUCGUAUUUCACAACAUUAGAGGUGCACGUGGGUCUUGGGAACGACGGUUUGACACAUGGUGAUGUGAGAAGUGAGGAAAUUACAAAAGAUUGCCCGGCAAACAAUUCUAUCCUGUGAGAGUAACCUGGAGAGUGGACAGCAACUCAAAAAGAACAUAAUAACAUGUAUAAUGUUAUAAUGGUGGUUAUGUUUUCAAAAUUCACUGAACUGUUCCCUGCUGAAAACUGUGGCCCAUGUGGAAAUUGAACAACAAUAAUGGUGGCAUGUACAGAAAAGUCUGGCCGACAUGGCAGUGCAAUAUCUUUAUGUAUAAAGUAGCAUAUAACAAUUUGUGAUGGAGCAAACUAGUAUAAUUUCAAGUAUAACAGGGCGAAUUAAAUAUUCAUGUAAGUUCCCAAAGUGUACCAACCGUUACUAUGCACCAAACAGUGGAGUAAAAAAUAAACGAUUUCAUCGAUUUCCUUCAUCAAAUCAAGAGAUACAAGAUAAGUGGAAAUUAGUGUGUGGUAUUGAUUUGCAUAUAAAUACCAAUCAUUUUUAUGUAUGUGAAGAUCACUUUACUGCAGCAGAUUAUAGAAGUCAUUUACGUAAUCGAUUAAACUGCCAGGCAGUCCCUUCACUCGAUGUUUUUAGUAACACCACUAAUGUGUUAUCAAAGGACUGUGCUGUUGAUAAUUUCAGUUCAUCACUCAAUGAACAUGAUUAUAGUAAGGGGCCAAUUUUGAAUUUAGAGGAAAUAAAUAAAAAUAUUCAGGAAGAUCAUUCCUAUUUCGUCACAAUAAACGUGCAACACUUAGAUGACCAUUCUUAUACUAAAGUUCAACCCAUAAAUGUCAACAAUGUCAUUAAAUCAGUUCAGGACGAUCAUGACUAUUUUCAUCGCACAAACACAGUGCAAGUAAAUAAUAGUGCUUCUAAUAAUGUGGACCUGGAUGUCUAUUUCUCAGAACAUGAUUAUUGCACCCCUACAUCAAACAAUUACAUUUCUUGUGACAACGUGAUAAACUCUGAAGUCAUUAAUAACCCAACAAAAACACCAAAAAAACAACGUGGUUUCUUAAAAUGUUGUGGUCUUCGUAGUACACAGUUAACGCCACGCAAAAAAAAGAUGUACAGAAUACACCGAUCUGUAAAAUCAAAUUUGUUUAAAACAAAAAAAAAAACUGGCGACUGAAAUUCAAAAGUUGGAGCAUUUAAAAACCAUGUAUGAGGACAAUAGAUUUGAAUUUAUUGAAAAAAAACUAAAUCUUGUCACCAAAAAUUUCAUUAACUCCCAACUGCGAAACGUUGAGAAAAAACCAUCAGCUAAACGGUGGACUGAACAAGAUAAAAUAUUUGCAUUAUCUCUAUAUAAACGAAGUCCUAAAUUGUAUAGAUAUUUGUCUGUCUACUUCCAAGUACCUUCAACAAGAACAUUAAAGACAAUUUUUUCCAAUAUUCCACUGGAUACUGGUAUAAAUAAACCACUUCUAGAUCAUCUGAAAAACGUAUGUCAAACGAUGAAUAAAUUAGAUAAAUGUUGUUCGCUAAUAUUUGAUGAGAUUUCUUUGAGUUCUGGUUUUUUUUACGAAGCAAGUAAAGACAUGGCUUUUGGGUAUGAAGAUUUGG